GAAAAAAAAAGAAACUUUAAAACGAAAAUAAUUGGCCCACAAAUAAUUUGAUCCAUAGAUGGCGUUGGUUCAGUGUACAUCAAAGUGCCAGCGAUAAUACUGUAUUCUGUUUGAUAGAAGAGGAUAUACGUAUAGUGCACCAAUUUUUGGCUGAUUUUCAAUUCUGCUUGACCUUUUUUCUGCUGUAAAAUCAAAUAAUAAAAAGGACAUUUUUGUAUAGUUCGUUCCAGUGGUGAAUAUUUCGCUGGAGAGCGUUUUUUCAAAUACUUGAAGAAAUCCACAAAAUAAAUUAAAGAAAUUCACCCACAAUAAAAAAAAAAGAGGAAAAGAUUGAAAAUCGUUAAGUUUAAACACUAUCGAGACGGGAAUUGUGAUUUUUUCUGCUGCUCCGUGCUCGUUGUUUGAGAUCAAUAUUUGAUUUUCUAUAUUGUCGUUGUUGUUGUCACCCCGUUGUUAGCCGAAUAAAAUAAAAUGACCCGUGGUAACCAAAGAGACUUAGCCCGUGCUAAGAACCAAAAAAAAAUUGCUGACCAAAAAAAGAAAAAAGAAGAUGGGUUGACUGUUGAACAACGUAAACAAAGAGACGCUGAAAUUCUUCGAGAAAAACAACGAAAAAAGGAAGAAGCUGCAGCAGCAGCGGUUGCGAAUAGUGGAAAGCCUAAAUAAAAAGAAAACAUCGUCCGGUCGUUUGUUGACCGAUCAGACUAAAACGCCACAUAACAAAAUAAAUCAAUUUCAAUUCAUUUUUUUCUCUUCUGAUUGUCAUUUUAUUUUAUUUCAUCCAUCGAGAUCUAUUCAGUUCAAAUCAUGUGAAACAAAACAAAUAAAAUUGGAAAUUUACUGUAAACAUGCACAAUAAAUAAACGAAUAUGAAAAGAAAAACAAAGAAGCAAACCAGAAUUGUGAUUA